rnacentral:rRNA from 1 species
ACGAACGCUGGCGGCGUGCCUAACACAUGCAAGUCGAGCGGAGUCGAUCGACGGAAGCCUUCGGGCGGAAGAUGGUUGACUUAGCGGCGGAUGGGUGAGUAACGCGUGGGCAACCUGCCUCGAAGACCGGGAUAACAGCCCGAAAGGGCUGCUAAUACCGGAUGUGGUCAAAGAUCCGCAUGGAUUUUUGAUUAAAGGGGAAACCCGUUUCGAGAUGGGCCCGCGUCCUAUCAGCUAGUUGGUGAGGUAAAAGCUCACCAAGGCGACGACGGGUAGCCGGCCUGAGAGGGUGACCGGCCACACUGGAACUGAGACACGGUCCAGACUCCUACGGGGGGCAGCAGUGGGGAAUCUUCCACAAUGGGCGAAAGCCUGAUGGAGCGACGCCGCGUGAGCGAAGAAGGCCUUCGGGUUGUAAAGCUCUGUCUGGAGGGACGAAGGAAGUGACGGUACCUCCGGAGGAAGCCACGGCUAACUACGUGCCAGCAGCCGCGGUAAUACGUAGGUGGCGAGCGUUGUCCGGAAUUACUGGGCGUAAAGGGCGCGCAGGCGGCGUGUCAAGUCGGACGUGAAAACCCCUGGCUCAACUGGGGGAUGUCGUUCGAAACUGGCAUGCUUGAGUGCAGGAGAGGGAAGCGGAAUUUCCCGGUGUAGCGGUGAAAUGCGUAGAUAUCGGGAGGAACACCAGUGGGCGAAGGCGGCUUCCUGGACUGCUACUGACGCUGAGCCGCGAAAGCUAUGGGAGCGAACCCGGAUAGAUACCCGGGUAGUCCUAGCCCGUAAACGAUGGGUGCUAGGUGUUGGGGGGGUAAAGACCCCUUCAGUCCGAAGCCACCCGAUAAGCUUCCCCACCUGGGGAAGUACGGCCGCAAGGUGAAACUUCAAAGGAAUUGGCGGGGGUCCCGCACAAGCGGCGGAGCAUGUGGUUUAAUUCGAUGCUGCCCGAAGAACCUUACCAGGGUUUGACAUGCUGGUGGUAGGAACCUGAAAGGGGGACGACCCGACCGUAAGGGAGGGAGCCAGCACAGGUGUUGCAUGGCUGUCGUCAGCUCGUGCCGUGAGGUGUCGGCUUAAGUGCCGUAACGAGCGCAACCCUCAUCCCUAAUUGCUCCUGGCAGGUAAAAGGGUCAGAGCACAAUAGGGAGACCGCUGGCGAAGAGCCAGAGGAAGGGGAGGAUGACGUCAAGUCAGCAUGGCCUUUAUGCCCUGGGCUACACACAUGCUACAAUGCAGGGUACAACGGGAAGCGAAGCCGCGAGGUGGAGCAAAUCCCCAAAAGCCCUGCUCAGUUCGGAUCGCACGCUGCAAUUCGCGUGCGUGAAGUCGGAGUCGCUAGUAACCGUGGAUCAGCAAAGCCGCGGUGAAUACGUUCUCGGGCCUUGCACACACCGCCCGU